GGGAAGCCUAACUGCAGUUCGAGCGAGCUCGCCAAGAUGUUUUACGUGCUUGCACUAAAUGAAACUAGAUACAAGCGAGCGGCGGACGGGUGAGUAACACGUGGGUAACCCGCCCAAGAGACCGGGAUAACACCCGGAAACAGACGCUAAUACCGGAUAACAACACUAGACGCAUCGUCUAGAGUUUGAAAGAUGGUUCUGCUAUCACUCUCGGAUGGACCUGCGGUGCAUUAGCUAGUUGGUAAGGUAACGGCUUACCAAGGCAAUGAUGCAUAGCCGAGUUGAGAGACUGAUCGGCCACAUUGGGACUGAGACACGGCCCAAACUCCUACGGGAGGCAGCAGUAGGGAAUCUUCCACAAUGGACGAAAGUCUGAUGGAGCAACGCCGCGUGAGUGAAGAAGGGUUUCGGCUCGUAAAGCUCUGUUGGUAGUGAAGAAAGAUAGAGGUAGUAACUGGCCUUUAUUUGACGGUAAUUACUUAGAAAGUCACGGCUAACUACGUGCCAGCAGCCGCGGUAAUACGUAGGUGGCAAGCGUUGUCCGGAUUUAUUGGGCGUAAAGCGAGUGCAGGCGGUUCAAUAAGUCUGAUGUGAAAGCCUUCGGCUCAACCGGAGAAUUGCAUCAGAAACUGUUGAACUUGAGUGCAGAAGAGGAGAGUGGAACUCCAUGUGUAGCGGUGGAAUGCGUAGAUAUAUGGAAGAACACCAGUGGCGAAGGCGGCUCUCUGGUCUGCAACUGACGCUGAGGCUCGAAAGCAUGGGUAGCGAACAGGAUUAGAUACCCUGGUAGUCCAUGCCGU
rnacentral:rRNA from 1 species